ACAACCCCGUCAUAUUCACCCAGAAUGGCCCAAGUCCUGCUUCUCUUCACAGUUCUGGUCUCCAUCGGCUCCAGUGUCCAGCAGCUGCAGACGCUGAAGGACCCAGAAUUUGUGGCUCUGGGUGGGACGGUCACCCUUUCUUGCAGAUACAACAGUGGAAACAUUGGGGAUAACAAUCACCCUUGGUGGGUGCAGCAGAAACCUGGGAGUAAUCCCCGGUUGGUGAUGCACCAAACCAGCACCAGACCAUCUGAUGUCCCAGCCCGUUUUUCUGGCUCCAGGUCAGGGAAUGUGAUGUCCCUAACCAUUACGGGGGCCCAGGUAGAAGAUGAAGCUGUGUAUUCCUGUUGUGUGCACACUGGGAACUCAUGGCACAGCCAUUCAUUCAGAUGGGGAAAAGUUGAACUGCACCAAACAGAAGGAAAGUAA